AAAAUAAUUUAAAUGCUGAAGUUGUUAUUUUCAUUUCUUGAACCAGUUGUUUAUUUGAUCUCGUCAAUCAUCGCAUUAGGUUAGUGUUACGUUGCAUGCAUUUGCAUAGUGGUCGUUUUGUCAUACCAAAUUCCAAUACUGUGACCAUGGACCCAUCUCAAUUUGAUGCCCUUACUCGACAAUUAGCUCAACUACAGGCUCAAUUAACAACCGUCCAAACCGAGGUGACUACUACUCGUGAGGAGAGUAGAGAACUAGCUGCUAGGGCGAACAAUUUAGAGCAAACCUCCCCCUCAACCGACGCUGAUAACUAUGAAGCGUCUCAUAACAUAUCCUAUCGUCGUCGACAUGGUGGUCGACAGCGUGUUCGUCGUGAACGAAGGAAUGGGGGACAGGAGCGCAUUCAUGAACGAGGCCAUGACCCUUAUGGAACUCAUUCACCUCCUCGCUAUGAGGAGUGUUACUUUCGAAACAUUAAAUUAGACGCUCCUACUUUCGAUGGCUGUUUAGAUCCUAGAGUUUUUACACAAUGGGUUAGAGACAUGGAUCGCUUCUUUUCAUGGUAUGGAGUACCGGAGGAUCGAAGAGUUCAAUUUGCCAGUUUGAAAUUAACUGGUACUGCCCAAUUCUUUUGGGAAAGCGUUGAGGACCUUUUUGAAAGGCGUCAUGCACCUCCCGUUGGAGGUUGGGGGGAAUGAAGCGCCGCCUUCAAGAGAAGUAUUUGCCCCAUUCUUAUAGGAGCAAUUUGUUGGACCAAUGGAAUACCCUCACACAAGGAAACCGUCCAGUGACUGACUAUGUUACUCAAUUUGAUGAGUUCCGAAUGCGAUGCCACAUCGUCGAGGAUGAAGCUAUGACUUUAAUUAGGUUCAGACAAGGCCUACGAGAUGAUCUUCGGCGUGAGCUUGUCCUUCGAGGUGUCACCACUCUCGAUCACGCUUAUUCCUUAGUUCGAGAUUACGAGUCGAUUACUAAAACUGCGUAUGGAAGGCGUAGUGAUAAUCGUCCAUCCAUCUCAUCGGCACCACCUCCUCCCACCAAAUCUCUUCUUGGACCCUGGUGCCUCGAAUGAAGCGCCUAUAAAAAGUUGCUAAUCCAUGAAAGCUCUGUACUUCUCGCACGGUUUUAGGAGUUGGCCAUGCGCGUAUUGCUUUCACCUUUGCCUCAUCAACUUGAAUACCAUAUUUUCCCACCAUAAAACCAAGAAAUAAAAGUUGGUCGGUCAUAAAGUUGCACUUUUUGAGAUUAAUGUACAAUUUAUUUUUCUGAAGGGCUGAAAAAACUUCUGUAAGAUGUGCUAAGUGCUCAUCUUCAUUUUUGCUGUAAAUAAGAAUGUCAUCAAAAUAAACCACCACAAAUGGACGAAGAACUUGGUUCAUCAAUCGCAUAAAUGUGCUCGGUGCGUUUGAUAGCCCAAAUAACAUCACUAACCACUCGUAGAGACCAUCUUUUGUUUUAAAAGCUGUUUUCCACUCAUUGCUAGGGUGUAUACGGAUUUGAUGAUAGCCACUCCUUAAAUCAAGCUUGGUAAAUAUCACUGCACCUUCCAACCUAUCGAGCAUAUCAUUGAGACGCGGGAUGGGAAAGCGAUACUUGAUUGUUAUUUUAUUAAUGGUACGACUGUCUAUACACAUUCGCCAACUGCCAUCCUUCUUUGGAAUGAGUAAAGCAGGAACUGCACAAGGACUCAUACUUUCGCGGAUUAACCCCUUAUCAAGUAAUUCAUUAACCUGUCGCUGCAACUCUUUGUGUUCUGCUGGGCUCAUGCGAUAAUGUGGCAAGUUAGGUAAACUAGCUCUAGGUGCCAAAUCAAUAUGAUGUUGGAUAUUUCGCUUCGGGGGCAACUCGUUUGGUAACUCGUCGAGUGCUAUUUCGGCAAAAUCAGCAAGUACUUUUUGAACUUUGGUGGGAAUUUGUAUAGUUACUUCUGAUGGACCUUUAACAACCAAGGCCAAUACUGUGUGAGGCUCUUUUACUUAUUCCAAGAAUUCUG
rnacentral:lncRNA from 1 species